rnacentral:rRNA from 1 species
AGGACUGAAAAGUAAAUGUAGUAAGAAGAUAAUCAAUAUUAAACUUACAGUAGGUAUAAUCAUAUACAUAAUUAAAAAACCUACUAUAUCUCCCUCCCCAGGGUCCUAGUUAUGUGCUUGGAGGGUAGAGAGUCCUUCUCUCUAUCCACUUUAUAUACAUUCCUAUCUAGAAAAAAAAAAAAAACAAACUCCUGUCUGUAAACGUCCCAUUCUGUAUUACAAGUUCAUAAACUAAAAAAUAUAAAAAAACGGAUCUUUUGGUUCUGGCAUCGUUGAAGAGCGCAGCGAAUUGCGAUAAGUAAUGUGAAGUGCGGAUUUCAGUGAAUCAUGAAUCUUAGAACGCCAUUGCGCCCCUCGUAUUUUGAGGGGGAUGCUUGUCAAGCGUCAUUUCACCUCGUCUCUGCCGUCUCUACGUAAGUAAAAGCGUAACAAGGUUUCUGUAGGUGAACCCCGGAAGGAUCAUUAGUGAGCCGAUUCGAGCUCCGGCUCGACUCUCCCACCCCAUGUGUACCUACCUCUGUUGCUUUGGCGGGCCGCGGUCCUCCGCACCGACCCCCGUUCGGGGGCCGGCCAGCGCCCGCCAGAGGACCACAAAACUCCAGUCAGUAAACGUCGCAGUCUGAGAAACAAGUUAAUAAACUAAAACUUUCAACAACGGAUCUCUUGGUUCUGGCAUCGAUGAAGAACGCAGCGAAAUGCGAUAAGUAAUGUGAAUUGCAGAAUUCAGUGAAUCAUCGAAUCUUUGAACGCACAUUGCGCCCCUUGGUAUUCCGAGGGGCAUGCCUGUUCGAGCGUCAUUUCAACCCUCAAGCUCUGCUUGGUAUUGGGCUCCGUCCUCCGCGGACGCGCCUCGAAGACCUCGGCGGUGGCGCCUUGCCUCAAGCGUAGUAGAAAACACCUCGCUUUGGAGCGCACGGCGUCGCCCGCCGGACGAACCUUUGAAUUUCUCAAGGUGACCUCGAUCAGUAGGAUCUUUU